rnacentral:rRNA from 1 species
CCUACGGGAGGCAGCAGUAGGGAAUCUUUCUCAAUGGGGGAAACCCUGAUGCAGCAACGCCGCGUGGAGGAUGAAGGUUUUCGGAUUGUAAACUCCUUUUGUUAGAGAAGAUAAUGACGGUAUCUAACGAAUAAGCACCGGCUAACUCCGUGCCAGCAGCCGCGGUAAUACGGAGGGUGCAAGCGUUACUCGGAAUCACUGGGCGUAAAGAGCGCGUAGGCGGGAUAGCAAGUCAGAUGUGAAAUCCUAUGGCUUAACCAUAGAACUGCAUUUGAAACUGUUAUUCUAGAGUAUGGGAGAGGUAGGUGGAAUUCUUGGUGUAGGAGUAAAAUGCGUAGAGAUCAAGAGGAAUACUCAUUGCGAAGGCGACCUGCUAGAACAUAACUGACGCUGAGGCGCGAAAGCGUGGGGAGCAAACAGGAUUAGAUACCCUUGUAGUC